rnacentral:lncRNA from 1 species
CACCAGUUACAUGAAUGAAUAUCCCACAUCUACUGAAUAUAUCCUAAAUGUAACGAACAAUAAGCAUUAAAUUACACUUUGAACAAAAACAACAAUACCGUGAAUAUCCCAACAACGACAACGACAAUGAUACCAACAACGACCCAUCCUUGUACGCAAUAAUUUUUUUCUUCAAGUCGUCGGAAAGCAACGGGAAAAAAUAACAACAAAUACAUUAUUGAAAAUCCCAAAGUAAAACAGUAGAUGUUCAUAAAUUAUCGUUGCUUUAACGGAAGUCGCCGGAAAAUCAAUGAUUGUUUAGCCGUAUCAGGUUUGGAUGAGUGCAUU